rnacentral:rRNA from 1 species
GGCAGACGGGUGAGUAUGCAUAGGAAUCUACCUAGUAGUAUGGGAUAGCCACUAGAAAUGGUGGGUAAUACUGUAUAAUCCCUGCGGGGGAAAGAUUUAUCGCUAUUAGAUGAGCCUAUGUUAGAUUAGCUAGUUGGUAGGGUAAAGGCCUACCAAGGCAGUGAUCUAUAGCUGGUCUGAGAGGAUGAUCAGCCACACUGGAACUGAGAUACGGUCCAGACUCCUACGGGAGGCAGCAGUGGGGAAUAUUGGACAAUGGGCGCAAGCCUGAUCCAGCUAUGCCGCGUGAGUGAGGAAGGCCUUAGGGUUGUAAAACUCUUUCAGUAGGGAAGAUAAUGACGGUACCUA